CAGCAGUUCCUACUGUCGGCAGCAGUGGGGAAUAUUGCACUAUGGGCGCAAGCCUGAUGCAGCAACGCCGCGUGAGGGACGACGGCCUUCGGGUUGUAAACCUCUUUUAGUAGUGAAGAAGGGAAAGUGACGGUACCUCCAGAAAAAGCACCGGCUAACUACGUGCCAGCAGCCGCCGUAAUAAGUAGGGUGCAACCGUUAUCCGGAAUUAUUGGGGGUAAAAAGCUGGUAGGCGGUUUGUUGCGUCUUCUGUGAAAAAAGCCCGCUCCACCUCCAGCCUGCAGCGGGUACGGGCAGACUAGAGUGCUGUAGGAGAGAUUGGAAUUCCUGGUGUAGCGGUGGAAUGAGCAGAUAUCAGGAGGAACAACGAUGGCGAAGGCAGAUCUCUGGGCCGUAACUGACGAUGAGGAGCGAAAACGUGGGGAGCGAACAAGAUUAGAUACCCCCGUAGUCCACCCCGCAAACGUUGGGAACUAGAUGUAGGGACCAUUCCACGGUUUCUGUGUCGCAGCUAACGC
rnacentral:rRNA from 1 species